AGGAUGAACGCUGGCGGCGUGCCUAAUACAUGCAAGUCGAACGCACGAUCAAGCUUGCUUGAGAGUGAGUGGCGAACGGGUGAGUAAUACAUAAGCAACCUGCCCACGAAGACCGGGAUAACUUCUGGAAACGGGAACUAAGACCGGAUAGGUAUAGAGAAGGCAUCUUCUUUAUAUUAAAGGUGAGAAACACUGGUGGAUGGGCUUAUGGCGCAUUAGUUAGUUGGUGAGGUAACGGCCCACCAAGACGAUGAUGCGUAGCCGGCCUGAGAGGGUGAACGGCCACAUUGGGACUGAGACACGGCCCAGACUCCUACGGGAGGCAGCAGUAGGGAAUUUUCGGCAAUGGGGGCAACCCUGACCGAGCAACGCCGCGUGAAGUGAAGACGGCCUUCGGGUUGUAAAGCUCUGUUGUAAGGGAAGAACGGCAUGGAGAGGAUCCAUGAGUGACGGUACCUUACCAGAAAGCCACGGCUAACUACGUGCCAGCAGCAGC
rnacentral:rRNA from 1 species